rnacentral:tRNA from 1 species
GGAAGAGUGCAGGAGUGGUUGAACUGGCACGCCUGGAAAGUGUGUAUAGGUGAAAGCCUAUCAAGGGUUCGAAUCCCUUCUCUUCCGCAA